CCAAAAAAUUCCAAUUUUUUACCCAAAAAAUUCCAAGUUUUUGGGGAUUUUUUGGGAUAUUUUGGGGGAUUUUUUGGGAUUUUUUUGGAAUUUUUUCAGAAUUUUUCCGGGAUUUCUUUGGAAUUUUUUGAGGAUUUUUUAGGGAUUUUUUGGGGAUUUUUUCAGGAAUUUUUGGGGAAUUUUUUCAGGUUUUUUUGGGAACUUUUUUGAGAAUUUUUUAGGGAUUUUUUGGGGAUUUUUUGGAGGAUUUUUUUUUUGAUUUUUGGGAUUUUUUUCUGGAUUUUUUCGUGAUUUUUUUGAGGAUUUUUUUGGGGAAUAUUUUAGAAAAUUUUUGGGGAAUUUUUUCAGGAUUUUUGGGGACUUUUUGUGGGAUUUUUUAGGAAUUUUUUGGUGAUUUUUUGGGUGAUUUUUAAGGGAUUUUUUGGGGAAUUUUUUGGGACUUUUUAGGAAUUUUGGGGGGAUUUUUUGUGAAAAAAAUCGGAUUUUUUGGUGGAUUUUUGGGGAAUUUUUGGGGAUGUUUUAGGAAAUUUUUUGGAAUUUUUUGGACGAUUUUUUGUGAAAAAAAUCCUAUUUCUUGGGGGAUUUUUGGGGGAUUUUUUGGGUUAUUUUUACAAAUUUUUUCAGAUUUUUCAGGAUUUUUUUUGGGAUUUUUUGGGAAUUUUUUGGGAUUUUUUGGGGAUUUUUUUCGGGAUUUUUUGGGGAAUUUUUGGGAUUUUUUGGGGAUUUUUGGGCCAUUUUUUGUGAAAAAAAUCCGAUUUUUUGGGAAUUUUUGGGGCAAAUUUUGUCCGAUUUUUUUCAAAUUUUUUGUGUAUAAAAACUGAAUUUUUUACCACAUUUUCACCCACCUAAUAUCCUCAUCAGUGACCACAAAAGCCCUGCACAGGGGCUGGGCCGUGUUCAACCAAAUCCCCGGGAAAAUGGGAAAUUUCACAUUAAAAAAUCCAAAUUUUGGGGGAAAAAAUCAGGGAUUUUCUGAGAAUUUUUUGGGAUUUUUUGGGGAAUUUUUGCGAAUUUUUGGGGAAUUUUUUCAGAAUUUUUUGGG
rnacentral:lncRNA from 1 species